UACGAAGGGGGCUAGCGUUGCUCGGAUUGACUGGGCGUAAAGGGCGCGUAGGCGGUUUGUACAGUUGGGCGUGAAAUUCCUGGGCUUAACCUGGGGGCUGCGUUCAAUACGUGCAGGCUUGAGUUCGGAAGAGGGUCGUGGAAUUCCCAGUGUAGAGGUGAAAUUCGUAGAUAUUGGGAAGAACACCGGUGGCGAAGGCAGCUCGCUGGGACGUUACUGACACUGAGGCGCGAAAGCGUGGGGAGCGAACAGG
rnacentral:rRNA from 1 species